rnacentral:rRNA from 1 species
UACGGGGGGAGCAAGCGUUGUUCGGAUUUACUGGGCGUAAAGGGCGCGUAGGCGGCGUGACAAGUCACUUGUGAAAUCUCCGGGCUUAACCCGGAGCGGCCAAGUGAUACUGUCGUGCUAGAGUGCGGAAGGGGCUACUGGAAUUCUCGGUGUAGCGGUGAAAUGCGUAGAUAUCGUGAGGAAGACCAGUGGCGAAGGCGGGUCUCUGGACAGUUCCUGACGCUGAGGCGCGAAGGCCAGGGGAGCAAACGGG